UACGGAGGGUGCAAACGUUGCUCGGAAUCAUUGGGCGUAAAGCGCACGUAGGCGGCGCGUUUAAGUCGGGUGUGAAAGCCCUGGGCUCAACCCAGGAAGUGCAUUCGAAACUGGCGCGCUUGAAUAUGGAAGAGGGUCGCGGAAUUCCCGGUGUAGAGGUGAAAUUCGUAGAUAUCGGGAGGAACACCGGUGGCGAAGGCGGCAUCCUGGACCGAUACUGACGCUGAGGAGCGAAAGCCAGGGGAGCAAACGGG
rnacentral:rRNA from 1 species